GACGGGGGGGGGCAAGUGUUCUUCGGAAUGACUGGGCGUAAAGGGCACGUAGGCGGUGAAUCGGGUUGAAGUGAAAGUCGCCAAAAAAGUGGCGGAAUGCUCUCGAAACCAAUUCACUUGAGUGAGACAGAGGAGAGUGGAAUUUCGUGUGUAGGGGUGAAAUCCGUAGAUCUACGAAGGAACGCCAAAAGCGAAGGCAGCUCUCUGGGUCCCUACCGACGCUGGGUGCGAAAGCAUGGGGAGCGAACAGGAUA
rnacentral:rRNA from 1 species